AUAAUAAUUAUUAGGCUAAUAAAAACAAAACAAAAAAAACAGGGGAAUUCUGCAACAACCGCAAUACAAUAACAACAACAAGAAGAAGAAGAAGAACAAGGACAGAGUGAAAAAUCACAGAGACGAAAAGAUCGUCUUCUGAAUCCGAACAAGGUGUUUGGGUUGAAAAUUUGCUGGAAAAUAUUGGUGAUGAUGAGGUUUAAGAAAGGGACUAAGGUGGAAGUAUUAAGCAAAGCCGAGGUGCCUUCUGGCGCCUGGCUAUGUGCAGAGAUCAUCUCUGGUAAUGGUCACAACUACACUGUUAGAUAUGAUGGAUAUCAUGGUGCUGCUGGUGAGGCUAUUGAGGAGAGGGUAUCCAGGAAAGACAUAAGGCCUUGCCCACCUGCACUUGAACUCGCAGAGAGUUGGAGUGCAGGUGAAGUUGUAGAGGUCUUUCAGAAUUUCUCUUGGAAGAUGGCUACAGUUUUGAAGGUUCUGGGGAAAAAGCACCUUUCAGUCAGGCUACUUGGAUCUUCUUUGGAGUUUCAAGUGAGCAAGUUUGACAUCAGGGUGAGACAGUCUUGGCACGAUGACAAGUGGAUAGUGGUUGGAAAGGGUUCUGCUAGCUGUGAAUAUGGAAAACGUUCUAGUGCUCUGUGUCAGAAGACAGCUACAAAUACAAAACUGUCAGUUUCCAAUUACUAUCAACCUGAAAAGAAAGAACUAAAUGUUACUUUUAAAACAUUAAAACGAGGAAUCGAUUCACAAGUUGAGGCAUGUGCUCAACCUCCCCCUAAGUUUAGGGCAAUUGAGAAUGAAGGAAGGUGUCAAGUAGCAAGAGUUGGAAAUCCACCCACACCACUUACACAGGUACAAGGUGUCAGUUUUCCAAGAGAUGUGCUUGCUGAAGAAUGUAGACCUGCUUCCAUAAACAGAAGAAAAACUGGGAUUUCUAAUAUGGACAUAGAGAGGAGGAUACAAACGGGGGCUGUUGGUUGUUCUUUUGGAGAAAGCUUUGGAUCAAAUCAUGCUGAUAGUGUUACAUGCUCUGUUGGUAGUUGUAGUAUCAAUAGCAGGAAUUCCCAUAAAUUGCAAUUUCCUGUAUCUGCAGGUCCUUUUGAAGAUGUAGACAGUGACUCUUUUAGUGACGCUGAAUCUGUCUGCCAGAGAGGGUAUGAGGAAGGGAGUUGCUCCCCUCCUUCACAAGAAGAAUUGGUGGAAGAAAUCCAUAGCUUUACGCAUGAAAGUUGUCAUUAGUUUGUGGCUAGUGCAUCACUGCUCAACAAUGAUCAAAUUGGCACAAGGUCCAAAUGGUUCUUGGAAGAACAUGGCCACAUUAAAGCCAGAAUUACACAAGAAACAUAGGACUAGAAAUCAAUUAGAGGUAUGCAUACGGUAUCCUGGAGCAAGAUGUCAAUGCAUAAGAGGAACAGGGGGUUAGGAAUUCGACAAGCUCGUCUAUCUAAUGUGGCGAUGCUAGGGAAAUUGGUUUGGUAUCUUAUCAAUUCUUCCGAUAAGCUUUGGGUUCGCCUCUUGCUUGAUGUUUACUCCCCUCAGACUAGUUUUCUGCAUGCUCCCGACAAUCGUGGGUCUUCACUUUGGAAUGCUCUGUUGCGCACUCGGGAGCAGCUUCGAGAGGGCUAUGGUUGGCGGAUUGGUGCGGGUAACCUCUCCUUCUGGUAUGAUGAUUGGAGCGGUUCGGGGCCGCUUUGUUCCAUGGUUCCCUAUGUUCACAUUUCUGACACAAGUUUGCGUGUUAGAGAUGUGUUUCGCGAUGGUGCUUGUGAUACUCGCUGCCUUGCUACUCCGCUCUCGGUUCCUGUUUCCCAGUUAUUAUGUUCUCAGUUUGUUUAUACUCACUCUGAUCAUGAGGAUUUGAUGGUCUGGUCGGAGUCCAUUGAUGGCACUUUCACUGUUUUGAGUUGUUAUACCUGGCUGUUAUCACGCCGGUUUGGUCCCUUACAGCCUGUUCCGUGGAAAGCGGACGUUCCGGAGAAGGUGAGAGUGUUUUCGUGGCAGGCGCUUCACAACUCCCUCCCUACCGCAGAGACUCUUCGCCACCGUGGGGUGAAUAUUCCGGUCCUUUGUCGCCUCUGCAAUGCUAAACCGGAGUCGCAACUCCAUUGCUUGCGAGAUUGUGGUGCAACUCGUCAUGUGUGGAGUAACCUGGCCAUGUUGAUAGCUUCUGAGUUUUAUUCGGCGGGUUUGAUGGUUGAGUGGGUGGCCUCGGUUCUGCGAGCCUCCGCUGCCUCCUUACUGCUUCAUGCGUGGUUCAUUUGGCGCAGGCGCUGUAAGUUUGUGUUCGACGCCAUCCUUGAGCCUUAGCAGCUUGUUCUCCAUCAUGCUGCUGCGAUUGACCGUGUUUUGUGCGGGAGCUUGGCUGUGGUGCACCCUCUUCGUGAGCCUCGCUGGGUCAAGUGGUGUGCGCCGCCGGAUGGGUGGGUGGCUUUGAAUACUGAUGGAUCCUCUCUUGGUAACCUGGGGCGGGCCGGAGCGGGGGGUGUAGUGCGCGACGCUACUGGUACUUGGCUGUUUGGUUUUUCAGUUUUCGUUGGUGUCUCUGAAAUUCUCAAGGCUGAGCUUUUAGCUAUUCUCUUUGGGUUGCGUGUGUGUUGGGAGCGUGGUGUGCGGCAGGUGGUUGUGUUCUCAGACUCUCAGCUGGCCAUCACCCUUCUCCAGCGCGGUUGUGGGCGGUAUCACGCUUAUGCAGCAGUGUUUGACAUGCUCCGCGAGCUUCUUGGUAGAGAUUGGAAUGUUUGGUUUGAUCAUAUUCUCCGGGAAGGGAAUUCUGUGGCUGAUUUGCUGGCGAAGCAAGGAGCUACUAGUGAUGACCGCCUAAGCGUCUUGGAGAAUCCCCUGUUGGCUGUCAUCUCUUUGUUGGCAGAAGACUACCGUGACACUCAUUUUUUGAGGCGCUAGUAUGUUUUUGCGUUUUUUUUAAGCAUCUAAGUACAAAAAAAAAUCAAUUAGGAUCAAGUGUCAAAUAUUUAUACUUAAUAACUUUUUAAAAAUAUAAAAUGACUACGCUAACCACUGAAA